AGGCCAGGCACUACUCUGUCCCAACAAUAAGCCCUGUACAUUGGGAAAGGUGCCGAGACAUGAACUUUGGUCUUCUCUGCAAUCCAUCUGGAGCAUUCAGUGACAACAUCGACUUUGAAGUUGCACUGACCUGGCCAGCCCUGCCACUUACCAGGUUGGGCUGUGGCUUGCCUUUUCACUUCUUGUGUCCUGUUUAAGAAAUAUCUACUAUCCCAAGAUAACACUAACAAAGUUGACCUUAGAAUUGGAGUGCCUGGGUUAGAACCCUGCUGGUACCACCUGCUUACUGCAUGCUUCUGAUGUGAGUUCAGGAGAAGACACUGGCAAGGACAGCAAAGAACAGGAGAACACUCUAGCUUCCCUGAUAGCAUUCAAGGUGCUGUCCAAACUGACUGUGAUGGCACCCUCCAGACAGACAGCGAUGCCACAUGUUCAAGAUGGCAGAAUCACUAUCAGCUUCAAUUCCUGAAUGACUGCAGAGCAAAAUUUCUUACCCGCAACAUACACUCUAUUUUCAGCCUCCCUGGACUGUUACAUAAUGAUACAUAAAAAUAUUUCUUGUGUUGAGGCAUCCCAAAUUUGAUCUAUUUGUCAUCACAGUCUAUCCUCUGAAUAUAUUUCUGAUCCAAAUAAUGCUAGAUUCAUGCGAGUUUAUAGUCCAGAGAUUUUUUUUUUUUUUUUUUUUUGAGACAGAAUCUCACUGUCUCCCAGGCCGGGGUGCAGUGGCAUAAUCUUAGCUCACUGCAACCUCCACCUCCUGGGCUCAAGUGAUCCUCCCUCCUUAGCCUCCAUGAGUAGCUGGGACCACAGGUGUGCACCACCACACCCCGCUAAUUAUUUUGUAUUUUUUGCAGAGGGGGGUUUCACCACAUUGCCCAAGCUGGUCUCAAACUCCUAGACUUAAGGGAUCUGCCCGCCUUGGCCUCCCAAAAUGCUGAAAUUACACUUGUUAGCCAUAGUAAUAGUUCCUAGCCACAGUCCGGAGAUAUUUUAAAAACUUUAGUGUGAGUUAUUUCUCUUUGCUGUAAUUCUCUCAUGCAUUUUGAAAACCUUUUCUGCCAUACAGUGGUUUUUGGGAAGUCCUUUUGGACAGACAUAUCACAGGAUGGAGAAACUAAAGAGAGAGAAUGCAUUAAAGAAAAAAUAGUACUUCGUAUUUCAGAAAUUACAAAAGGGUGUCAUGCCCCACAGCAUGGUGGGCAGUCAUUUGUAACCCACAGAACAUUGAGUUUCUAAAAUUUGAGUGUUUUUAACUUACGAAGGCCAACUUUACUGAUGAAGUGAUUACCCCAAAUAUGUGAAAUCCAUAUUUCAAGCACAAUAGCAGGAAAUCGGAAAUGGGUAGGUAUAUUUCUGACUGUCAAAGAGUACAAAGUAAAGAGGGGCCCCUGAAGAGUGACACUACUGGAAAAA
rnacentral:lncRNA from 1 species